AGGAUGAACGCUGGCGGCGUGCCUAACACAUGCAAGUCGAACGUCCUGUCUCGCAAGAGGCAGGGAGUGGCGGACGGGUGAGUACCACGUGGGUUAUCUACCGUGAGGUGAGGAAUACCGGCGAGAAAUCGCCGACAAGACCGCAUAGCCUCGGUGCAAGCCGAGGAAAGCUCUCUCGAGAGAGGGAGCGCCACACGAGGAGCCUGCGCCCGAUUAGCUAGCUGGUGGAGUAACGGUUCACCAGGGCGACGAUCGGUAGCUGGUCUGAGAGGACGAUCAGCCACACUGGGAUUGAGAACGGCCCAGACUCCUACGGGGGGCAGCAGUGAGGAAUUUUCGUCAAUGGGGGCAACCCUGAACGAGCAACGCCGCGUGCAGGAAGAAGGUUUUCGGAUCGUAAACUGCUUUUUCUCGGGGAAGAGAACGGACGGUACCCGAGGAAUCAGCCCCGGCUAACUACGCGCCAGCAGCCGCGGUAA
rnacentral:rRNA from 1 species